GGAAGGUCCGGGCGUUAUCCGGAUUUAUUGGGUUUAAAGGGAGCGUAGGCCGCCGAUUAAGCGUGUUGUGAAAUGCCGUGGCUCAACCAUGGCACUGCAGCGCGAACUGGUUGGCUUGAGUGCGCGGAAGGCAGGCGGAAUUCGUGGUGUAGCGGUGAAAUGCUUAGAUAUCACGAAGAACCCCGAUUGCGAAGGCAGCUUGCCGCAGCGCUACUGACGCUGAAGCUCGAAGGUGCGGGUAUCGAA
rnacentral:rRNA from 1 species